rnacentral:rRNA from 1 species
UGGGGAAUAUUGGACAAUGGGCGAAAGCCUGAUCCAGCGACGCCGCGUGUCGGAAGGAGUCCUUCGGGAUGUAAACGACUUUUGGUGGAGACGAAUAAGCAGCUCAGGGAAUGGGGCUGUGAUGACGGUAUCCAUGGAAUAAGCCCCGGCUAACUACGUGCCAGCAGCCGCGGUAAGACGUAGGGGGCAAGCGUUACCCGGAAUUACUGGGCGUAAAGGGAGCGUAGGCGGGAGGUCAAGUCCGGUGUGAAAGACCCUGGCUCAAACAGGGAUGAGGGCUGGAAACUGACAAUCUUGAGUACAGCAGAGGAAGAGGGAAUUAACGGUGUAGGGGUGAAAUCCGUAGAGACCGGUAAGAAGGCCAGUGGCGAAGGCGCUUUGCUGGGCUGUGACUGACGCUGAGGCUCGAAAGACAGGGGAGCAAACCG